ACGGGAGGCAGCAGUGGGGAAUAUUGGGCAAUGGGCGAAAGCCUGACCCAGCAACGCCGCGUGAAGGAGGAAGGUCUUCGGAUUGUAAACUUCUUUUAUAAGGGACGAAGAAAGUGACGGUACCUUAUGAAUAAGCCACGGCUAACUACGUGCCAGCAGCCGCGGUAAUACGUAGGUGGCAAGCGUUAUCCGGAUUUACUGGGUGUAAAGGGCGUGUAGGCGGGACAUCAAGUCAGAUGUGAAAGCACGAGGCUCAACUUCGUGUCUGCAUUUGAAACUGUCGUUCUUGAGUGUUGGAGAGGCUAACGGAACUCCUAGUGUAGCGGUGAAAUGCGUAGAUAUUAGGAAGAACACCAGUGGCGAAGGCGGUUAGCUGGACAAUAACUGACGCUGAGGCGCGAAAGCGUGGGUAGCAAACAGGAUUAGAUACCCUGGUA
rnacentral:rRNA from 1 species